CGGAGACAGCGCCGACGCCGACGCCUCCCUGGGCGGAACCGCAAUCUGCACGCCAAAAAAAGAAAGGCGUCGUCAAUAGUCUCUAGGUAAAGCAGCGCCGCCGCUGCUGCCUCAGGUGAGCUUCGGGCGGCACGGCCUUCAGGCCCACCAGAACUUGCAGCCCGAGUUAUAUAUAUGAGAAAAGAAACUGAAGCAACACCAACAAUCAGCAAGACUUCUGCCUUCUCCCCUUGUUGUGUCACAUAAGAGCAAGAUAAGGAGUGAGCUGUACAUAGCAAACAAGCAAAGGGGAAAUGGCUGCUGAGCCGCACCCACCAUUGUGAGGCCUGAGGAGGUGAUGAUGAUGAUGCCUCUCCAGCUGCUGUUAUUGGCUGUGGACAUCCUGUGAUGUCACAUAAGCACAUGGAAGCUCAGUGGAUAUACAAAAGCAGCCCUAGGGGAAAGCCCAAGGCAAAAGCUUGAAGAGGACAUGGUGGACAACAGCUGUGUUAUUCAGUACUUGGUGGUCUCCUUCCGCAUGGAGGCGAAGUGGCAAAUGGAAGGAGGCCAUCAUCCAUCAAUGAGAUGCUGUGGAGCAAUGAGAAGGCAAGUAUACCUGCUGAGCAGGACCGAAGCUUGAAAGUGGCAGAUAUCCAUGGUUGGAAGCUGGCGAUGGACCUGGCAGAAGCUGUGAUUAGCAUGUGGAAGCCCGGGAUGCCGCAGAGCUGAAGGAGGCUGAAGUUAGUGCGCAUAAGCUGGUUGAAAUUCACCUUCAGAAGGCCAUUGACAAAAGCUGUGUGGAUAUUUGUGGGUUGAUGCUGGGGUAAGUAUGAAUGGUGAGUGUGGACAUAGGUCACCCACCAGACAUGGUAUGCCUGGGAAUUGCAUGUUCAGAUAGCGGUGUAGGCUGCCCUCCAGGCUCUGGGCGAAUGAACCACUGGUUCAUGGGUGGAAGCCAGCGGAGGUUGGCAGGCUGGCCAGUGGAGGUGGCUGGAUGAUAACUGUUGAAUGAGGGCCAUUCCCCUCACCGUAUCUGUGUUUGCCUUUCAUGGAUGUCACAGGCUGACGAGGCUUUCCCCGAAAGCAGCAAUGAAGGGGACAGCAGAGCUUAAGCAAGCCAUCUUCUACUUCUAAAUCAAGAUCGCUUGGCAAGAGCCCCAGCCCUUUAACGGUUCCUGCAUUUCUGCAGAGUGCCAAAAACUGCGGGAAAUAAAAUGAAAAACAAGAACCUGGCCGGGCGUCCCCGUGCCCACUGGACCCAGCACAUGCUCCUUUGCAACAUCCGAAGCCAACGGUAGCCAGGAAGACGUGCCAGGUGAAUUAAUUUUCACUUUCCCAGGCAUUCUGAGAUCAUUUUAAGAUCUCCAGUGUUUUUAGCUCUCCUGUGCCAAUUUAAGUUUUGCUGUUGCUCGUUUUAUUCAUUCAGUUUUGUACUGUGAUUGACCUUGAUCUGUUAAAUUUUCAGAGCUCUUGUAGAUUUUUUUUUUAUGGGUUUCAGCUUUUAUUGUUAAGUAUCCAGUGGGUAUUGUCAACUGGGCAAUAUACAUUAUGCUGGCUUUUGAAGUUGCACCUGUUUACACAGGCAUUCCUUUGAUCACUCAACCUGAGCUUCCUGUUUUAAAUGUCGUGCUAUUUUAUUGCAUAAUUGAAUUAUGGAUGGUUUUUUUUUAAAAGUUUUAAUUGGAUUGUUUUAUUGUGCAUUUUAAUUAUAGAUGGUUAUAGUUCAAAGUUUGUAAAAGUCUGUUUUUGCAUUAAGUACUGUA